rnacentral:rRNA from 1 species
ACACGGCAUGCCUUAGUAGCGGCGAGUGAGCGGCAAAAGCUCAAAUUUGAAAUCUGGCUCUUUCAGAGUCCGAGUUGUAAUUUGAAGAAGGUAUCUUUGGGUCUGGCUCUUGUCUAUGUUUCUUGGAACAGAACGUCACAGAGGGUGAGAAUCCCGUGCGAUGAGAUGAUCCAGGCCUAUGUAAAGUUCCUUCGAAGAGUCGAGUUGUUUGGGAAUGCAGCUCUAAGUGGGUGGUAAAUUCCAUCUAAAGCUAAAUAUUGGCGAGAGACCGAUAGCGAACAAGUACAGUGAUGGAAAGAUGAAAAGAACUUUGAAAAGAGAGUGAAAAAGUACGUGAAAUUGUUGAAAGGGAAGGGCUUGAGAUCAGACUUGGUAUUUUGUAUGUUACUUCUUCGGGGGUGGCCUCUACAGUUUAUCGGGCCAGCAUCAGUUUGGGCGGUAGGAGAAUUGCGUUGGAAUGUGGCACGGGGGUCGGGGGGUGUGUUAUAGCCUUCGUCGAUACUGCCAGCCUAGACUGAGGACUGCGGUUUAUACCUAGGAUGUUGGCAUAAUGAUCUUAAGUCGCCCGUCUUGAAACACGGAACCCAAAAAAAA